rnacentral:rRNA from 1 species
UACGGAGGGUGCAAGCGUUAUCCGGAUUUACUGGGUUUAAAGGGUGUGUAGGCGGGCCUUUAAGUCAGUGGUGAAAUCUCCGGGCUCAACCCGGAAACUGCCAUUGAUACUAUUAGUCUUGAAUUUUGUUGAGGUAGGCGGAAUAAGUCAUGUAGCGGUGAAAUGCAUAGAUAUGACUUAGAACACCAAUUGCGAAGGCAGCUUGCUAAACAAAUAUUGACGCUGAGGCACGAAAGCGUGGGGAUCAAACAGG